UGACCAGGCGAGUGCAACCAUUGUUUAGCUUUAGAGCUUGUUCGAUCAACGUUCUCAAAUGCUGAGUUUAGAACACCUGGCGUGCACAAUAAUUGACGGACAAGAUACUCGAGCUCAGCCAAUUUAUAGCCAAAGUGUUUCUGUAUGUUUCACGAUUGAAGCGUGAAAUGAAAUCCACCAUGAUUAAACCCGAAGUGGGAGGGUUCAGCGCGCCAAGAUCGCAUUAUCCGAACAGCUUCUUGCUCUGGUCGAGAUCCGAGAGAGAGAGAGAGAGAGAGAGAGAGAAGAGAGAACCGGAUGGUGGAACCACCUUACGGGGGAGGGAAGCGGAAGCAGUUCCACGAAGCUCUACUGAGGCAGCUGUACCCAUCUUCCCCACCGCCGCUAUCACCACCACCUGAUCAAUCCGUUCAUCAAUAGUUUCUCCAAUCUGCUGGUUCUUAACGUGAUUCUUAACAGGAGGCAGGGCCAGAGACUGAGCCCCCCUCUGAACAUUCGGCACCCCUUGCCUCCCAAGGCACGUCUCUCUGUUUCUCUCUCUCCCUUUCUCUUUCUCGGGGUUUUCCUGCAAACCUUUAUAUCUCUACGUGUUUUGGCUCAGAAGAGGGCAAUAACGGUUCUGAUCCCAAUUGCACCGACUCGGAGGAAGAGGGGGUCGGCGAGAAGAAGCUGACCCGUUCGCAGAGGAAAAGGGUCAAGAAAAAGAAGCUCAAGGAAUGGGCGGCUUUAUGUGCCAAAAUGCGCUUCAUUGGCCCUCGCCUACCUUCCGACGCUGCUGUAGACCAGACCUCUCUAUCUCUGGCAGACCGACAAACAACAGAUUCUCUUCAUGAGACAGACAACCAUGGAGAAAAAGAAACAGUGGAGGAAGAGAAAAAUGAGGUAUCUCAAUUGCGCGCCAAGAAAGUAAAGAGCAGACGAAAUGCUAAGAGGCAAAGAGCUAAUACGUCCGCUGCGUCUUCCUGAAGCUUAGAUGUUGUUAAGAUUUCAUUGUCAAUCUUUUCGUAUUUCGAUCUUGGAGAUAAGCUGACAGAAAGAUUGCUUGAACUUUCUCGACGUGUGAACGUACAUAUGAACAGGAAAGAGGAAGCAAGAGGAACAAAUAUUCUGUUUCAUAUACUGCUUCGUUAUUCCGUUUGGAGAUCACAAGAUUCACAUUGCCGGUGAGAAAGAAGUCCUUGAGGAUUUGUUCACACUGUUUACUUUUUUUCUCGUCGAAUGCUCUGGUAACAUUGUCUGGCAAUCUACAUUUCCAAAAAUAAAGAAAGAAAUGGUUGUUAAUCUGGCCAGCACACGGAUCAUCGUGUUCAUUGGUCACGAUACUCUGUAACAACCUCAGACAGUUCGACGACAUGAGAAAUUCGUGAGACGCUGUUGGAAGCACAUGAUUCAUUGUGGGAUACGUAGUUUUAUGUGGUUUGAUGAGAUUUUGUGCCUCAGAACCGAUUAGACGAGGCACCUCCAUACAAAGGCCUAUGUUAUGAAGAGCAGUGAAGGGCAGCGGAACACUUGGUUGGGUCUCAGUUCUUUUGUGCAUUACAGGUGAGGAAUAACGGUAAAGCCGUAAAACCAACUGUGGUGGACCUGUGUAGAGUUUUUGUCCUUAGGAAAAAGAUGGCACACAAGAAGCUUUAACAUGUGGGCAGAUCCUUCCUCUCUUGGAUU